UUGGUUAAGUUAGAAAGGGCGCACGGUGGAUGCCUUGGCACUAGGAGCCGAAGAAGGACGGGACUAACACCGAUAUGCUUUGGGGAGCUGUACGUAAGCGUUGAUCCAGAGAUUUCCGAAUGGGGGAACCCACUAUCUUUAGUCGGAUAGUAUCCUUACGUGAAUACAUAGCGUGAGGAAGGCAGACCCAGGGAACUGAAACAUCUAAGUACCUGGAGGAAGAGAAAGAAAAAUCGAUUUCCUGAGUAGCGGCGAGCGAAACGGAAAGAGCCCAAACCAAGAAGCUUGCUUCUUGGGGUUGUAGGACACUCUAUACGGAGUUACAAAAGAAAGUUAUAAAUGAAGCGGUCUGGAAAGGCCCGCCAAAGACGGUAACAGCCCGGUAGUUGAAAUGGCUUUCCCUCCAGAGUGGAUCCUGAGUACGGCGGAACACGUGAAAUUCCGUCGGAAUCCGGGAGGACCAUCUCCCAAGGCUAAAUACUCCCUAGUGACCGAUAGUGAACCAGUACCGUGAGGGAAAGGUGAAAAGCACCCCGGAAGGGGAGUGAAACAGUUCCUGAAACCGUGUGCCUACAAGUAGUUAGAGCCCGUUAAUGGGUGAUAGCGUGCCUUUUGUAGAAUGAACCGGCGAGUUACGAUUUGUUGCAAGGUUAAGCGGAAAAAGCGGAGCCGUAGCGAAAGCGAGUCUGAAUAGGGCGCAUAAGUAACAGGUCGUAGACCCGAAACCAGGUGAUCUACCCAUGUCCAGGAUGAAGGUAAGGUAAUACUUACUGGAGGUCCGAACCCACGCACGUUGAAAAGUGCGGGGAUGAGGUGUGGGUAGCGGAGAAAUUCCAAUCGAACUUGGAGAUAGCUGGUUCUCUCCGAAAUAGCUUUAGGGCUAGCCUCGAGGUAAAGAGUCAUGGAGGUAGAGCACUGUUUGGACUAGGGGCCCUUCUCGGGUUACCGAAUUCAGAUAAACUCCGAAUGCCAUGUACUUAUACUCGGGAGUCAGACUGCGAGUGAUAAGAUCCGUAGUCGAAAGGGAAACAGCCCAGACCACCAGUUAAGGUCCCCAAAUAUAUGUUAAGUGGAAAAGGAUGUGGGGUUGCUUAGACAACCAGGAUGUUGGCUUAGAAGCAGCCACCAUUGAAAGAGUGCGUAAUAGCUCACUGGUCGAGUGACCCCGCGCCGAAAAUGUACCGGGGCUAAACAUAUUACCGAAACUGUGGAUGAACCUCUUUAGAGGUUCGUGGUAGGAGAGCGUUCUAAGGGCGGUGAAGUCAGACCGGAAGGACUGGUGGAGCGCUUAGAAGUGAGAAUGCCGGUAUGAGUAGCGAAAGAAGGGUGAGAAUCCCUUCCACCGAAUAUCUAAGGUUUCCUGAGGAAGGCUCGUCCGCUCAGGGUUAGUCGGGACCUAAGCCGAGGCCGAUAGGCGUAGGCGAUGGACAACAGGUAGAGAUUCCUGUACCAGUGCUAAUUGUUUAACCGAUGGGGUGACACAGAAGGAUAGGGAAUCGCACGAAUGGAAAUGUGCGUCCAAGCAGUGAGUGUGAGAAGUAGGCAAAUCCGCUUCUCGCGAAGCAUGAGCUGUGAUGGGGAAGGAAAUUAAGUACGGAAGUUCCUGAUUUCACGCUGUCAAGAAAAGCCUCUAGGAAGAGUAGU
rnacentral:rRNA from 1 species